rnacentral:rRNA from 1 species
CGGGCGCACGGCGGAUGCCUUGGCACAGGGAGCCGAUGAAGGACGCGGCAAGCUGCGAUAAUCCCCGGCGAGGAGCACACAUCCUUCGACCCGGGGGUCUCCGAAUGGGCGAACCCAUCCACAGCAGUGUGGAUAUCCCCACCCCGAACACAUAGGGGCGGGGAGGACAACCCGGGGAACUGAAACAUCUAAGUACCCGGAGGAGAGGAAAUCAAUCUCGAGACUCCCCGAGUAGCGGCGAGCGAAAGGGGACCGAUGGCCAAACCGUCGAGCGGGCGUACCCGGCAGGGGUUCCGCCGGCGGGGUUGCAGGGCCGCGCAUCCGGGGGCUGCCGCCCCCGGGCGCAGGUCCGGCUGGGGAGCGGAACGGCAUGGGAGGGCCGGCCGCAGCGGGUGACAGCCCCGUACGCGAACCCAGACCGGACGGCGCGACGCGGUCCCUGAGUAGGGCCGGGCACGUGAAACCCGGUCCGAACCUGGGUGGACCACCAUCCAAGCCUGAGUACUACCCUGUGACCGAUAGCGCACCAGUACCGUGAGGGAAAGGUGAAAAGCACCCCGGGAGGGGAGUGAAACAGUACCUGAAACCGUGCGCCCACGAGCAGUCGGAGCACCCUUGUGGUGUGACGGCGUGCCUUUUGUAGAAUGAGCCAGCGAGUCGCUGGCGCGGGGCGAGGUUAACCGAAAGGGAGCCGGAGCGAAAGCGAGCCUUAACAGGGCGACUUGAGUCCCGCGCCGCGGACGCGAAGCCGGGUGAGCUAUCCGUGGGCAGGCUGAAGCGGGGGUAAGACCCCGUGGAGGGCCGAACGCACGUCGGUUGAAAACGGCGGCGAUGACCUGCGGAUAGGGGUGAAAGGCCAAUCAAACCCGGAGAUAUCUCGUUCUCCCCGAAAUAGCUUUAGGGCUAGCGUCGCGCGUUCACCGCCGGAGGUAGAGCACCGGAUGGACGAGGGGGCUUCGCCGCCUACCGAAUCCAACCGAACUCCGAAUGCCGGCGGCCCAGAGCGCGGCAGUCAGAGCAUGUGGGCUAAGCUGUGUGCUCGAGAGGGAAACAGCCCGGACCGCCCGCUAAGGUCCCCAAGUUCCAGCCGAGUGGCAAAGGAUGUGCGUCCGCCCAGACAACCAGGAUGUUGGCUUAGAAGCAGCCAUGCAUUCAAAGAGUGCGUAACAGCUCACUGGUCGAGUGGACAUGCGCCGACAAUUCACGGGGCUAAGCGAUGCGCCGAAGCGGCGGAAUGAACUUUUCAUUGGUAGGGGAGCUUCCCCUGCGCGGCGAAGCCGGAGGGCGACCGACGGUGGAGCGCAGGGGAGUGAGGAUGCUGGCAUGAGUAACGAGAGCGGCGCGGGAAACGCCGCCGCCGUAAGCCCAAGGUUUCCUGGGCAAGGCUAAUCCUCCCAGGGUCAGUCGGGAGCUAAGGCGAGGCCGGAAGGCGUAGCCGAUGCGCAACAGGCGGACAUUCCUGUACCGCCUCGGGACCGCUUAUGACCGAAGGGGCGACGGAGAAGGGUACGCAGGCGGGGUUCUGGACGCCCCCGUGAAAGCAUGUAGGCCGCAGGGCAGGCAAAUCCGCCCUGCUUACAAGGCCGAGACGCGAGACGAAGCCGCAAGGCGAAGCUGCGGAGCCCACGCUCCCCGGAAAAACCCCUAGGCAGGGCCCGAGGCGCCCGUACCAAAACCGACACAGGUGGGCGGGUAGAGCAUACCGAGGCGAUCGGGGGAACCAUGGUCAAGGAACUCGGCAUAAUCGCUCCGUAACUUCGGGAGAAGGAGUGCCGCUGCAGGUGGAGGGACUAAGCUCCCCGAGCCCGCGGCGGCCGCAGCGAAACGGCCCAAGCGACUGUUUAUCAAAAACACAGGACUCUGCUGAAGCCGUAAGGCGACGUAUAGGGUCUGACGCCUGCCCGGUGCCGGAAGGUCACGAGGAGCCGUCAGCUUAGGCGAAGCGGCGAAUCCAAGCCCCGGUAAACGGCGGCCGUAACUAUAACGGUCCUAAGGUAGCGAAAUUCCUUGUCGGGUAAGUUCCGACCUGCACGAAAGGCGUAACGACUUGGACGCUGUCUCAACCAUGGCCCCGGCGAAAUUGCACUAGUCGUGAAGAUGCGACUUACCCGCAGAAGGACGGAAAGACCCCGUGAACCUUUACUGCAGCUUGGCAUUGGCCGCCGGUCCGUCGCGUAGAGGAUAGGUGGGAGACCGUGAACCCGGGACGCCAGUCCCGGGGGAGUCGCCCUUGGAAUACCACCCCCGACGAACUGGCGUCCUAACCCGCGGCCGUGACCCGGCGCGGGGACCGUGCCAGGUGGGUAGUUUGACUGGGGCGGUCGCCUCCCAAAGAGUAACGGAGGCGCGCGAAGGUCUGCUCUGGGCGGUCGGCAACCGCCCGUCUGAGUGCAAGAGCAUAAGCAGGCCUGACUGCGAGACGUACAGGUCGAGCAGGUGGGAAACCAGGCUCUAGUGAUCCGGCGGCCCGGCGUGGAACGGCCGUCGCUCAACGGAUAAAAGGUACUCCGGGGAUAACAGGCUGAUCUUCCCCAAGAGUCCACAUCGACGGGAAGGUUUGGCACCUCGAUGUCGGCUCAUCGCAUCCUGGGGCUGGAGCAGGUCCCA